rnacentral:rRNA from 1 species
UACAUAGGGGGCAAGCGUUAUCCGGAAUUAUUGGGCGUAAAGGGUGCGUAGGCGGUCUGUUAAGUCUAAGGUGUAAGUUCAAGGCUCAACCUUGUGAUGCUUUAGAAACUGGUGGACUAGAGAUAGAUAGAGGCAAGUGGAAUUCCAUGUGUAGCGGUAAAAUGCGUAAAUAUAUGGAGGAACACCAGUGGCGAAGGCGGCUUGCUGGGUCUAUACUGACGCUGAGGCACGAAAGCGUGGGGAGCAAACAGG